rnacentral:rRNA from 1 species
CCUACGGGUGGCAGCAGUGAGGAAUAUUGGUCAAUGGACGCAGGGCUGAACCAGCCAAGUCGCGUGAGGGAUGACGGUCCUAUGGAUUGUAAACCUCUUUUGUCAGGGAGCAAAGGGCGCCAAGUGUGGCGUUUUGCGAGUACCUGAAGAACAAGCAACGGCUAACUCCGGGCCAGCAGUCGCGGUAAUACGGAGGAUGCGAGCGUUAUCCUGAUUUAUUGGGUUUAAGGGGUGCGUCGGCGGAAUGUCAAGUCAGCGGUAAAAUUUAGGGGCUCAACCCCGUCGUGCCGUUGAAACUGGCGUUCUUGAGUGCGCGAGAAGUAUGCGGAAUGCGUGGUGUAGCGGUGAAAUGCAGAGAUAUCACGCAGAACUCCGAUUGCGAAGGCAGCAUACCGGCGCUCAACUGACGCUCAUGCACGAAAGCGUGGGUAUCGAACAGGAUUAGAUACCCGUGUAGUC